rnacentral:lncRNA from 10 species
GGUUCAGAAAAAGGAUUUUUAAAAAAAGUAUGUAAUUUUUAAAAGUUCUGAUGAUUAGAACACAGACCUCAGGAAAGUAGCGUGAACAUACUGCUGGCGAUGGUAGCAGCUUCGUUGGUUUAGCAAAGUGACAGAAGUAUCUAUUUGGAGUGUUUUUCUGACCCUGACACGGUAUGUGGAGGUGGAUGAAAGCAGCGAAGUUUCAUCUGAGAACCAUUGAGUAUGGAAGUGGGGCCUCUACCUUGUGACUGAGAGGGAGCCAGGGAGUAAAAGCUGCUUGCAGAAAGAGGAGCCAGGGAUAUUGAUGACAUCAUGAAGCCACUUCAUCAGCGUGGACCACUGGUCUCCAGAAUACCUAUGAUGUGGGAACAAUAAACACUUACUUGUUUAA